rnacentral:tRNA from 1 species
UGCCGGGCUGGCCGAUGCCGCGCUGCGCGUUGCCGGCGAGCAUCCGGCGCUGUUCGAUAGCGCGGCCCGGCAG